GAUAGUCUCGAGCAAGGGGCGGGGGGAUUACGGGGGAUCCAAGCGUAAUGCGGAAUCAUUGUGUUUAAAGGGUCCGUAGGCGGCCUUAGAAGUCAGCGGUGAAAGUUUUUGGCUUAACCAAAAAAUUGCCAUUGAUACUGUAGGGCUUGAAUAUUUGUGAAGUAACUAGAAUAUGUAGUGUAGCGGUGAAAUGCUUAGAUAUUACAUGGAAUACCAAUUGCGAAGGCAGGUUACUAACAAAUGAUUGACGCUGAUGGACGAAAGCGUGGGUAGCGAACAGGAUUAGAUACCCGGGUAGUC
rnacentral:rRNA from 1 species